UGUGAUAUAUUACACAAUACAACGAUACGAAAGGAAGUCGUUCUUUGAUAUAUUACACAAUACAAUGAUACAAAACGAAGUCUUUCUUUGACGUCUGACAUAUUACACAAUAAAACGAUACCAAAGGAAGUCUUUCUUUGACGUCUGACAUAUAACACAAUACAAUGAUACAAAAGGAAGUCUUGAUUUGAUAUAUUACACAAUACAAUGAUACAAAAGAAUGACGUUCGCUGACGUCUGACAUACUACACAAUGCAACGGUAUGAAAGGAAGUCUUUCUUUGAUAUAUUACACAAUAAAACGAUAGAGAAGGAAGUCUUUCUUUGACGUCUGAUAUAUUACACAAUACAAUGAUACAAAAGGAAGUCGUUCUUUGACCUCUGUUAUAUUACACAAUACAAUGAUACAAAAGGAAGUCGUUCUUAGACGUCUGACAUAUUACACUAUACAGUGAUACAGAAGGAA